UACAGGGGGUGCAAACGUUGCUCGGAAUCAUUGGGCGUAAAGCGCACGUAGGCGGUCUGUUAUGUCGGAUGUGAAAGCCCUUGGCUUAACUGAGGAAGUGCAUCCGAAACUGGCAGGCUAGAGUACUAAAGAGGGUCGCGGAAUUCCCGGUGUAGAGGUGAAAUUCGUAGAUAUCAGGAGGAACACCGGCGGCGAAGGCGGCCCUCUGGAUCGUUGCUGACGCUGAGACGCGAAAGCGUGGGGAGCAAACAGG
rnacentral:rRNA from 1 species